UUAUUAUUCCCUAUGGGGAGUCCUAUCGUCGGAAUGUAAAUGUCUCAAAAUUUUUAUAUAGGCGGUCGCGUCUCAUCUACGUGAAAGUUUUUCGUGUGGAAGGUUUGACCAAACUAAGUAAUAUAGAGGGAGAUAUGAGCGUUUUCGUGAAUUUAUAGACUUUAGCCGACGAGAUAUUAAAAAAGUCGUCGGCUAAGGUCAAAAACUUUUGGGCGGUAAACCAAAUUUGGAGUAAAAUUUUCAAGGGACUUUAGCCGACAAAAUCAUAUAUGAUUUCGUUGGCUAAAGUAGAAAAAUUUUCAAAAUUUUCAACCAAAAUUUUCAAAAGAGUUUAGGCGACGAAAAUAAAGAAUUUCGUCGGGUAAAGUUCUUUAUAUAGGAGUUUUACCGGAGGUGGAUGGUAAGAAGUCAGAAAAUCCCCAAUUUUCUUCUCGGCCUAACUCCGCCGUCAAGCCACCGGAGACCGCCACACUUGUCCCAAAAGCUUCGCCGUCGUCUCUACUUCAUUGUUGGACAGGUGGUGCAUCGAGUGGCGCCGCCGUGAGGGAUAAAUCGAGCUCCAAAACUCCGCCGGUUCGGAUUCGGUGUUGAUCGAAUUUCUCCUUCCUCAGUUCACCAUUUGGUGAGUUCUAUAUAUGGAUAAGUUGACUUUUGAUUAGUACUACAUUCUCCUAGAAUUUGGUUGCUCGAUUCGGUGUGUGUGAAGAGAAUCGAAGAUUUGAAGUUUUUAGGAUUUAAAAUUGGGGAUUUUUAUAUUUCGAUUCAAUUGACCUGUUUAGGCUUAGAAUUGAGGUUCGACUUCUUCUAGAAAGUUGUUCGAAAUGUUGAGAGGAAGAUUCUGUCAAAUUUUGGUGGUGAUUGGAGAUGACCGAAAGUUUCUGCAGUUUUUUUUUUUUCAAAAACCAGCAACUUUAGCCGACGAUAUUUAAAUACUAUAUUCGUCGGCUAUAGUAUUUUUUAAUUUUUUUUAUAAGGUUUAGCCGAAGAAUUAUGGCGUGUUUCGUCGGCUAUAGUUAUUUUUUUAAAUUUUUUAUAAGGUUUAGCCGAAGAAACAGACUAUAUUUCGUCGGCUAUAGUUAUUUUUUAGUUUUUUAUAAGGUUUAGCCGAUGAAACAGACUAUAUUUCGUCAGCUAUAAUCUGGGAAAAAAAAUUUUAUUACAGACUUUAGCCGACGAAUAUCUUAAUUGUUUCGUCGGCUAAAGUCUGUAAUAAAAACCGACGACAUGUUUUUCAUCGGCUAAACUGUGGGACUAUAGCCGACAAAAUUUUUUUUGUCGUCGGCUAAAGUCAUCGCCGACGACCUUUUCCCGACGAAAUCUUAGCCGACGAAUUAAACUAACAGGCCAACGAAAAAGUUCGUCGGCUAAAGUGCUUGUCCUGGUAGUGAUACUAGUUUCUUUUAUUUUUUUUUAUUCGGUGACCUUUUGGUUGACUUUUUAUUCAUUGGGUUUCUCAUGAAACUUCCUUCACGGAAGUUGUAAACAUGGCGAUACGAGUUCGUAGACACACGGCACGCGUAAAACGGACUUCGUAUGAAGAAGUUAUGGUCAAAGGAAUUUAGUUUCCGGGAUUGGGAAGUGUAUAAGUAGAAAAAUGUGUGUGAGUCAGUUUGGAACCCUAAAGGCAGCUCACUCUCUUCCCUCUCUACUCUCUCCCGAGCUCCCCGAGCCCUCACCUUAUUCAACCGAGUACUCCCUCCUCCGGCCACCAAACCGGACGCCACUGGUCCCGUUCGACUCCUACAGCUGCCCUCUCCAUUUUUGGAGCAGUCCCGCCGCCUGGAAGCCGCCACGAAGUGGCAGAGCUGCUGUUGUCCCGUCGGAAAGCCGACGAUUUUGACGCCGAUUCCGGCCAAGUUUAGGUGAGUCUUGCUCCGCUCUCUCUUCUAGGGAUGUUCAUGCCUCUUUAGUGACCUAGAAAUCAAGUUUGGGUGCCGGAUUUGCAGGUUUUGGGGUUUCAUUUUGGCUGCUGUUUUCGGGGCAGUUUUCGGCCGGUUCUGGCCAAAAUUGGUUGAAGCCUCAGGUAUGAAAGUUGUUCCCCUUACUUCAAGCUUCAACUUUGCUGUUGAGAGUUUUCUCAAAUUCGAAAGUUGAUGGUGGAGCGUGGGGCCCACUCGCCACCGCCUCUGGCGGCGCGUGGCAGCGUGUCCGGCAGGAUUCCUAGCUCUAGGUUUCGGUGGUUAGCUAGCUCUUGCUGUUGUGAGCUUGUUGAUAUGUGGAAAUUCUAGGUUUGGUGUAAGGUUUGCAGGUUAGGACAUUAAGUUUAAGCUUAAGCUUGUGUGAGGUUUGAGUUUAAGUUUUGAGGAUUGGAGGCAACCUUAUUUAGUCGUUAAUUUCGACGACCUUGGAAGGUUGUCCUCUUUUGGGCUAAGGUUAGUUUGAGGGUGUUUUUUAUCCUUUAAUCCGAAGGUGCUAAGGCUAUCAAUUGUUUUAAUUAGGUAGCUUGUGGAAUUGAUUUAAGCUUGGCUCUUGAGUUUAUUGUGAAGACGCAGCGGGAAUAUUUAGGUGAGUAACAUCUCACCAAGGUUCACUUGGGACCAAUUAUUUAUGGAAUUGUGAUGAUGAUUAUUAUUAUUAUUAUAAUGAUAUUGUGAUGAUGAGUAUGAUAAUUAUUGUGUUGUUGUUAAUGAUUAUUAUGAUGAUGAUGGUGAUGAUGAUAAAAUGAUGAUGAAUUACGAUGAUAAUUUUUGAUGAUGAUUUUGAUGUUUUUAAUUUAAAAUUUUUAUUUUUGGUUGUUUUAAAAUAUAUGAGCUUGAUCGCCAACGGCUCAUAGGUAAGAUAAAACAAGUUUUCCUAUUAUAUGAUUAUUUUUAAGGUUCAUGAAAAUAUAAUAUUUUUGGUUCUUGAUAGGUUAUUCUUGUGGGAAUAACUAUGUCUUGUGCAUAUAAAUAUAUCUAUGUGGAAUGAUAUAAUUUGAUGAUGUGCUAUUGGGUUGUUGAUGUUGAUUUUAUUAUAUUGUGAUUUGUGGUUUAGAUAGUCAAACUGGGUUCCAAACCCUUAAUCGGGUGAUUGGUAACGGUUAUGAUGAUUCUACUCUAUUGUGAUUUGUUGUUUAAAUAAUCAAACCGGGUUCCAAGCCUUUAAUCGGGUGAUUGAUUACGGUUAUGAUGUAAUUAUUAUUUUUGAAUUGAUAUUGGACAGUCAUAGGUUCCAAGCCUUUGGCCGGGUGAUUGGUUACGGUUAGGAAUAGAGUUCUAGUCCGUCUGUCGGUGUAGGUCAUGGGAGGUACCUGAAGGUAUCUGGGACCCAUGGGUACAUAAAUUGUUGUUGUAGGUCAUGAGAGGUAUUUAUUAAUAUCUGAGACUCAUGGGUACAUGUUUUUGUUAUAGGUCAUAGGAGAUACCUUAUUGGUAUCUGGGACUCAUGGGUACAUGUAUUUUUUGUAAAGUGUUGGUUCUAUGAUUUUAACUUGUUCUUAAUUGUUGUCGAUUAAUCUUCCUUGUUUUGAGUAUCUCCUGAAUGCUUAAUGCAGGAGACUCUUUAAUCUUAUUUGUGUGAUUUUUAGUGAAAUUCAUGAACUAUCUUUUUGCAGGAUUCACUUAUGAUUGAUUGUUUUGUGAAUUGUUAUGCUUUCUUAUUUACUCUCUUUUGAAUUUUAUUGUGCGAGGCAAUUCCUGAACUAAGUUCUAAGCAGGAAUUUGCGGUUUUAUUUUGUGUGUUGUUGGGUUGAGUUAUUUUGGGAGUUACUCAUACGGGCUUUUUAGCUUACCGGGUUUGUUGUUUACAACCCGGUGCACCAAUUCAUGGUGUAGAGGUUAGACCUACAGGUGAUGAUCAGCAGGGUUGAAGCGGUGGCUUAAGAGCUGGGUUUUAGACAAUAUACAAUUAUUUGUAUAUUUUGUUAAUUUGUCUUUAAGCUCUUGUGAGCGACGUUAUUAUUACUAGACUUUUAAAGUUUAUAUAAUUAAGGAGAUAUAAUGUUUAACUCAGUUGUUGAGUCUGUUGACAUUUACAUUUCCAGUAUUUGUUUUUAGUUUGAUACUUGUUGAGCAGGUUUUUGGAUAUUAAGAUUUUAAGAUAUAUCAUGCCCAAAUUUUUGAAAAUUUAUCCUUCGAAAAUUGGGGUGUGACACCUCAUUUGCCCAAAUCCGAGCUCAGAUGGCCAAGAUAUGGCUGAAAAACUAAAGGAGGUUGGGAGGAGAAGAGAGAUGUGCGAUUUUCAGAUUUGAAACUUUUUUCUUUUUUCAGAUUUCCUUUUUUCUAUCUAUAGACAACUUCCAAAAAGGUAGUAACUUCCGCUGUCCAUAACUUUUUCGUACGACAUCCGUUUUACGCAUGCCGCAUGUCUACGGACUCGUAUCGUCGUGCUCUACAACUUUCGUGAAAGAAGUUUCUCGAGAAACCCAAUGAACAAAAAGUCAACUCUAUGACCCUCAAAGAAUAAAGAACUGUUUCAGGGUAAUUUAUGCGUCUGAACACUUCCGCCCUUUCUUCGAACCUCAAAAACACAUUAAAUUCUAACUCGAAAAUUCUCAAAUAAUAUUAUAAACUAAUAUCGAAUUUCCGGGGUAUUACAAUCAAUAAAUCCAACUAACACAUUAUUCGGUGUUUCAAGAUAGGGGACUAGUUGUAACCUGGUUGGUUAAGGAGUUAACUAACAACUUUGAGGUCAUGAGUUCAAACUUCAUUGACAUAUAUAUGUAACGUGUGUGAGUUAUUUAAUAUAAUUUUCUUUUUGAGGUCAUGGGUUCAAACUUCAUUGGUGUGUGAGUUAUUUAAUAUAAUUUUCUUUUUCUUUUAACUUUUUAAAAAAAAAAAAAAAAAAGAUAGGGGACUAGUCUGCAGUGCACAUAACCUGCGGCUAUGGUAGUGUUAGACGUAGUCUCUCGAUGGGAGGCCGAGAGCUGUGUUCCACCUAUUCCAGGCGGGAUCUUUUUGUCUCUUGCUUCACUAUAGGGAAAGAAUAGGCCUAAGUCAACGGAACCCUUUAGAUACCUGAUGAAGAUGUGUUUAACACCAUUCCAAUGACGAUGUGUUGACCGCAGAGCCAAAUCUAGCCGACAAGUUCACAGAGAAUGCAAUGUCUGGUCGAGUGCACUGAGCCAAAUAUAACAGAGCUCCAAUCACACUAAGAUAUGGAGUUUCAGCUUCUAGGACCUCUUCAUCGCCAUCUUUCGGACGAAACAUAUCCUUUUUAAUAUCCAAAUUUCACGUAAUCAUUGGAGUGCCAAAAGGAUGUGCUUUGUCCAUAUUAAGUUGCCUAAGCAUCUUUUGGACAUAAGCCGACUAGUGAAUUAGGAUUCUAGUUACUCGAUGCUCUAGUCCUAAGCCUAGGAAAAAUCUAAUUUUCCCAAGAUCUUUUAUCUCAAACUCGGAUUUCAAGUAGCUAAAUGUCUCAUUGAUGUCAUUGAGAGUUCCGAUGAUAUUCAUAUCAUCAACAUAGACUACUACAAUUGCAAAUCUGGAACUUGUUCUUUUUAUGAACACGUAUGGGCACAAUUCAUCGUUCUUGUAUCCCUUCCUAAUCAAGUAAUCACUUAGACGAGUAUUGUUUCAAUCCGUAUAGUGAACGCCUCAAUCUGAUGGGAUAAGCACUCCAUGGUAUAGAGUCACUUUGUCAAGACCCACCCCGAAUUUCACCUUGAAACCCGAAGUAAGUCUUACGGGGACCACCUCUAAGGAAAAUUUUACCGAAAAAUUCGGCAUAACCUCCCUUGAAAAUAGACAACCCUAACCUGAAAAAUUCAAACCACACUCCUAUAACGACACAUCCAAUCUCAACCCCUGGAGCCACCCGCUCCCCACAAUACAACCCCCACAACAAUAUAACAAAAACCAUCUUCUAAUCCAUCACAUAAAUAUCCAAUUAGAAAAUAACAAACUUCAACAUUCAAAUAUUCCAAAUUAAAAUCCAAGACUUAAGCACACAACCGAGCUAAUAUACAUUAUCCUCAAGAGUAAUCAGAGCUACUAAUACUAGCGGAAGCAAGAAAAUACACUGGUAGGUUAAGCAGGUAAUCUAUUGGUGAGAAAUGGUGGAAAAGUGGGUAACUACGCCUCGCCUCCUACUAGUGCCUACCCGAACUCUGCAGAUUGGGCAUUUUAAAAUGAAGGGCCCAGGGGAAAACAUUUAAUAACGUUAGAGUGAGUGGACAAAAAUAGAUUUGAAUAAAAGAAUAAAUAAAAUAUUUAUGCUUUCCCGAUUCAAUUUCCAAGGAAAAAUCGAAUGCAUGCCUCAAGUGAUAAAACUUUCAUCUCUUAAAUAUCGAGCUUCUCAAGUUCUAAAAUAUAUAUGUAUGUAUUUACACACGUCCAUACUCCCUAUAUAAUUUUAUGGAAUUAUAUAGGGCUACUACGCUCGCGUCCAACGCUCAUGUCACGCCUUAAUGCGGUGAUACACUACGCCAUUAAGGUAGACAGACGGGUGUAUAAAUAUGUGUCCAUACCCCCUAUAAGAAUUAAACACUCGUAUAAGGCUAUUACGCUCACGUCCAACGCUUACGUCACACCAUAAUGCGGCUAUAUGUUAUGCCAUUGAGGUGGACAGACACAUAUGCCUAGCUAGCAUUUAUAAAAAUACUCUCCUCAUAAAUACAUAUUUAUAUUCACCGAAAAUCCCAUUUUCGGUAACUCUCCAAGAGAAAUAAAAUCGUCAAAAUUAAAAUUACGUCAAAUGCUCCAACAAAAUUAACUGUUCAUCCAUGAACCAUAGCAUGCAUAUUAUUUAAAAAAAAAGUCUACUCACAAAUUAGGCCUAAACCUGAUGUCGAUCCGAGGCCUCUUCCACUCGAGCCUCCUCACGUCCUGUUCCAAAUAUAAUAAUAAAUUCCCAACUCAAAUUUCAAUAAUUAUACAAAAAUAGGCAAAAUUAAAUGUGAGCCUUGACCACGCUCAUCAUUGCCUAACUUCGAUAUUCCUAAAUCGAUUCGGUCCACACUUCAACACCAAAACCAGCAGCCUUAACUACACCUUUCUACAGAUUAAACAACAUUAAUCAAAUGGCCGGAUUCUACCCUAAUAAUCCGCCAAAAUUACCAAACUUUAAAAAUUCCCAAACCUAUCCAAAACUUCUCCAAAAAUUCCAAAAUUCACAUCAAUAACUCCCCUUAAUAUAACCAAUUUAAAACCAUGAAAGCCUCCUAAACAGCGACGGCGCCGCCACGUGCUCCGCCGGCAGCGGCGGCCGGAGGUCGACUCCAGCGACCUCCAAUGCCCACCAAAUUUCGACAGCAUCUUCCUCUCAACUCCCUCUACAACUUUCCUAACUAGCACAAACACCAAUUCCAAGCCUAAUUAUGCCAAUCGAACGAAAACAUAACAAAAAACCCUAGAACUUCCACUCUCACUGGUUCUCCUCACCUGAAGCAAACUGGACCAAGUUCUUCUAGGCAAGGCAACUGGGUUGGAGACCUUCAAAACCAUAUAAGGCUUGCCCGGAUUGGUGGCCGGAGGAGGAAGUUCCGGUGAUGGAGAGCUUUGGACAGCCGGAGGUUCCAGGCGGAGAAUCUCCCUCAUGGCGGCGCUUGAUAGGUGCAUUUUAUGCAACGUUCUUAAUGUAUUUCCGACCCUAUUUAGUUAUGUAAUUCCUUUAACAAUAUUGAUUUUAACUUAGUUUGUGUUUUUAGGUCACAAAUAAAGCCGAGGAGCACAAAAGAGGCAAAAGAGGAGAAAUCUUGAAGGAAAAUGAAUCCAUAUGGCGCAAGGAAAGAAAUCAGAAAAUCUGCCAGGAAUAGUCAGUCAACUUCGACAGAGAAUUGUCAUCAACUCACAACGAUCCAGGAGAUGAACUUUAUAUCAGCAGAAAGCUAGAAGAGUCUAGUUUUCAGAACUUUUCGCAGAUCGUCAAUAGCUAUUUUGGUGACCAAGUUAUGACCGUUUGAGUGACCAAAGGUCAGUCUGCCCGAAUUUCUGAUUUGGACCGGAACUUCAAUUUCAAGGCCCAAACCACAACGGCGAGCCCAUGGACGAAAAUUAAAGGUUCUCUAACCCUAAUAGCAGCUGUUCAUAUGUUCUCUAUAUGUAUGAGGAGUUGGGGACGUGAAAGGGUCGCUCUUGGCCGCAGAAAAACAACGCCUUUCAUCUCCUUCAGAAAUUCUUCUCCAAACACAAACCCUAGUUUUAGGAUUUCUCUUGCCGUGCCUUCUCCUCUGUAAUUCUCGGCGUAGUUCCUUGUUUCAAUACUCAAAGUGUAAUCUAAACUCAGACCUCAUGUUUUCUUUUAUUAUCUAUUCAAUUACUUUAGUUUGUUUCCAUCUCUCUUAUUCGUUUGUGNNNNNNNNNNNNNNNNNNNNCGGUGAAUUACAUUCUAACAUGUUCAAGUUCUUCCUUUGAUCUAUUUUGGAUAUGAAGUCCGCGUCGGUACAUAUCUAUGAGAGGUUAGAAGGGUUUAAGUAGUUAAGUCCGCGUCGGUAAAUUACUUGAAACAUGGAAUUUGAUUCGUUUCUCCAUAUGCAUGAUUUAGGUUGUUAGGGUUGAAAUUACAUAGCUACUUGAUUAUAUGAAUCUGAUUUAGUGUUUUCUUGUGUGCAAAGAGACGAUCACAUGUAUAUAGUAGCUUAGGUUUUUGUUUCUUUUUAGUUUAGGAUUUUCGUCACUCUUCUAUUCUCUGUUUUCUUUUAUUUUAUUUUCGUAUCAAACGAUCUCCGAAUCCCCUGAAAAUUUGUACAGUAGUUCCUCUGUGUGUCUAGUAGAUCUCUGUAAAUUUUCAUAUUUUUCUGAGUAGUUUAGGUUAGGUUUUUAAUUAGGUUUUCGACUGCUGUUCUAUGGAACAGUAGCUACUUUUGUAAAUUGUUUAAAUGUUUUAUUACUUGUUAAUAUUUGUUGUGUUUUUCUAACGCUUUGUUUUGCAAGGUACCCUCAAUCCCCGGCCCUAUACGAUACCCUACUUACUCAAUGCUACUAACGAUAAAAAGGGUUUAUUUGAUGCAGGUUUUGCACCCGUCAAGGCUAAGGAAGCUCUCACCGAUUUAGAAAGAAAGCUGGGUCGAGGGCCGACCGAUCGGGACCAGAGCGGCUGUCUGAGGCAGGCGGACGGCCAGAAAUUCUGGCAAGGAGAGGGGCUCGGGGAGCGGGAGAGAAGAGAGAGAGAGAGAGAGAGAGAGUGAGUGUGUGGGUGUUGGGCUUCUCCCACACCCGGUCCAACUUAAAACCCACUCUACAACAAACUCAACUCCAAAAAUAAAACACCCCGAAAAAUAAUACCAUAAUAAAAAUUACCUUUUACUAGCUAAAAUUUACUAUUUUUACCGUCGUCACAUUUUUCUCCUACGAAUAAUCCUCCGAAAUAAACGUCCCUCAAAACUCCUCUAGGAACCAUUUAAACUAAAAACUCACGACGAAGACGGUAAAAUUCUUAUUAAAACCAAGCUAGUAAAUAAGGUAAAAAUUUAAGGGUCGGGAUCUGACACACUUGAUUUGGGCAACGAAUGGUCGUCCAACAGUUUCAUAUAUAUCUCUGUAUCAAGAUCCCUAUAGAGAUGCGGUAUAAGCUGCAUAUUAAGUUUUUCGAACACUACUAAACUGGCUAAGGAGCGGAAAGUAAUGACGUACAUAAUAGGAGAAUACUUCUCCUCAUAAUCAAUUCCAGGGCGUUGCAAGAAUCCUUGCGCCACAAGUCUAGCCUUAUAUCGAAUGAUUUUAUUCUUCUCAUUACACUUUCGAACCAAUACCCAUUUAUGUCCAAAAAGCUUAACACUUGGUGGGCAUAGCACAACCGAACCAAAAACUUGUCUUUUUGUUAAGGAGUCUAGUUCUACCUGGAUUGCAUCUUUCCAUUUUCCGUGACAAGUUAUUGUGUUAGGAUGCACUACCAGAAGAAAAGCUUUAGCCGACGAAAAUAAAAAACCAGGCCGAUGAAUUAUUUUUUCGUCGGCUAACGUGGACUUUAGCCGACGAAAUUUUACUUCGUCGGCUAAUUUAAAUUUUCGUCGGCUUUGGUCAACUUUAGACGACGAAAUUAAAAGUUCGUCGUCUGAAUAAUUUUUUUCGUCGACUAUAGUCUGUGAACUUUAGCUGACGAAAUUUUUAAAAGUUUAGCAGACGAAAAAUAUAAUUUCGUCGGCUAAAGUGCCUUAUAUUUGCUGAUCUAGACAACAACUCAUCUAGGAAAAAAAAACUAUACGUAGAACCUUCAAACACAAAAAAGUCGUGAAAUAAGAUAUGACCCGAAUUGUGAAAUAUGUCUACGGUUGAAAAAUCACGGUAUUCCGGUAAAGUCUCAGUGCCGAUAGUUGCAGUCAAUGCAAUUUACCCUUAUUAUUCAAUGCUGCAGAUUUGGCAUUUGGUGUCCGAUUGACUAUUGCGAUACCUUUCCGGAAGCGUAACGGCCCUACGAGUCAAACUUAUUGCCUUGCCAUGACAUCUGGGCCUUUUUGGCCAUCCGAGUCCGUUUAGGGCUUCAAAAUGCAGUUUUCUUAUUUUCGAUUAGAGUUGACCGUUUCGAUCGAGCCCUUAACGUUAUCGAAGCCAGUUGAAUUUUUUACCAUAGACAUCUUUCGUCAUAAUGAACAUAUCUGACGGUCGAAUUUUGGUUUGUAAAUUUUAGUCAUCGGAAUCACGUGUCUACUAUUUACCGUUAUUAUUCCCUGUGGGGGGCUCUAUCGUCGGAAGGUAAAUGUCUAAAAAAAUUUAUAUGAGCAGUUGCGUCUCAUCUACGUGAGAGUUUUUUGUGUGGAAGGUUUGACCAAACUACAUAAUAUAAAGGGAGAUAUGAGCGUUUUCGUAUGAUAAGUGACGAUGGAUUAUGGUUGACCGUUUCGAUCGAGCCCUUAACGUUGUCGGAUCCAGUUGAAUUUUUUACCAUAGACAUCUUUCGUCAUAAUGAUCAUAUCUAACGGUCGAAUUUUGGUUUGUGAAUUUUAGUCAUCGGAAUCACAACGUGUUUACUAAUGUUGUAUAACUUGUUUAGUAGGUUAUACAACUUUGUGAACCAACUCUACAUAGGAAGCAAAAUUAUCAAAAAUAUCGUGAAAUAAAAUGUGUUCAUAAUGGUGAAAUACGGCUAUGGUUCAAAAAUCACAUAAAUCGGGUAACGUCUCGGUGUCGAUAGUAGCGGUCAACCCUAUUUACUGUUAUUAUUUCCUAUGGGGAGCCCUAUCGUCGGAAGGUAAAUGUCUCAAAAUUUUUAUAUAGGUGGUUGCGUCUCAUCUACGUGAAAGUUUUUCGUGUGGAAGGUUUGACCAAACUACGUAAUAUAGAGGGAGAUAUGAGCGUUUUCAUGAAUUUAUAGACUUUAACCGACGAGAUAUUAAAAAAGUCGUCGACUAAGGUCAAAAAAAUGUUGGCGGUGAACCAAAUUUGGAGGAAAAUUUUCAAAGGACUUUAGCCGACGAAAAUAUAUGAAAAGUCGUCGGCUAAAGUCGAAAAAUUUUCAAAAUUUUCAACCAAAAUUUUUUGGCGGUCAACCAAUAUCUUCAAAAGAGUUUAGCCGACGAAAAUAAAGAAUUUUUUCGGGUAAAGUUCUUUAUAUAGGAGUUUUACCGGAGGUGGAUGGUAAGAAGUCAGAAAAUCAGAAAAAGUUCUAGAUUUUCUUCUCGGCUUAGCUCCGCCGUCAAGCAACCGGAGACCGCCACACUUGUCCCAAAAGCUUCGCCGUCGUCUCUACUUCAUUGCUGGACAGGUGGUGCAUCGAGUGGCGCCGCCGUGAGGGAUAAAUCGAGCUCCAAAACUCUGCCGGUUCGGAUUCGAUGUCGAUCGAAUUUCUCAUUCCUCAGGUCACCAUUUGGUGAGUUCUAUAUAUGGAUAAGUUGAGUUUGAUUAAUACUACAUUCCCCUAGAAUUUGGUAGCUUGAUUCGGUGUGUGUGAGGAGAAUCGAAGAUUUGAAGUUUUUAGGGUUUAAAAUUGGGGAUUUUUAUAUUUUGAUUCAACUAACCUGUUUAGGUUUAGAAUUGGGUAAACUGUGAGAGUUAACCUGUUCCGGAAUCGACGACAUGUUUUCCAUCGGCUAAACUGUGAGACUAUAGCCGACGACGUCUUUUUUUUUCGUCGGCUAAAGUCAUCGCCGACUACCUUUUCCCGACGAAAUCUUAGCCGACGAAUUAAGCUAACAGGCCGACGAAACUUUUUCGUCGGUUAAAGUGUUUGUCCUGGUAGUGUUACGUACAAUACACUUAUUUUACAAUUAUUUUUUCUGAGAUGGCGAAGCACUUGGAAUGAAACAAGGUUGCGGUGUUUUAUUUGUUGAGACAAUUAAGUUAUGAUACUGAGAAGUUUACGAUACACUCAUUUAACAAAUACUUGAACCGAAAUUACAAACAAAGUUAAAAUAUUUCCCAUUCAUCGCUGCUAGCAUUAUGUUGAAAAGAACAUAGUUGCUCCUCUAUGAUCUGAGUCCUCACCAUCUACAUAAAAUUAAAGCAAAAUUACAACACUGACAACAAUUUUUUCUAAAAUUUGCAACUGGAUUGUACAUACGUUAUAGGUAAUUAAUUGCUGUAAAUAGAACAGAGAUUACACGAAGUAGGACUCACCAUUACCACCCUGCACUACUAGCAAAACAACAACUCAUACAAAUUUUGUUCACUA
rnacentral:lncRNA from 1 species